AUGACAUUAGUGGAUUAUAUUGACUUGGACUAUGAUGAGUAUUAUGUCAAAUUAGAUGUUAUUGAUUUGACCACUGAUGAAGAUACAUCCAAGGGAAGUACAAGGUAUUGCAAGAACCACGACAGUGCUUCAAAGGGCUGCAUGGUUCAAGGUUGUACAAAUGUUGCACAUGGAGGCACACCUCUAUGCAUUUGCCAUGGUUCAAGGAUGCACAAAAAGAGGGGCUGUGCUGUCAGUGGAUGCACCAAGGGAGCGUGUAGUGGCAGUCAAGGCCGCACAGACCGUUGUGUGAAGCACGGUGGCGGCAAGAGAUGUAAAUAUGAUGGUUGUGGGAAGGGUGCUCAAGGGAACACGGAUUUUUGCAUUGCGCAUGGUGGGGGAAGGCGUUGCAAGUUUCAAGGAUGCGGGAAAAGUGCACAAGGGCGAACUGAUUAUUGUAUCAAACAUGGUGGCGGCCGACGCUGCAUGGUUCUAGGAUGUAACAUGAGUGCAGCAUAUGGGACUGAUUUCUGCUCUAUGCAUAGAACAAGUUUGCUGAGUGGCUAUAAUUCUGCCCAUGAAAUGCUGCCAGCACCAGCGCCUGAAUGUCGGGCCAAGGAGGCAGAACCAUCCAAAAGAAGAAACUCACACUCAGUGACUGGAGGGGAAAGGGCUCAAAAAAGGCAGAACACCGAUGAAUAUGUUAACAACAUUAGAAGCUUCAGUGAUGUUGAGAUGGUAGAGGAAAAGGGCAGAGUUUUGAUUUGUCAGAAUAAUACGCUGAAGGCACAGCAAACAGCUCAGGAGAUGAAAUCCGAGAGUGACCUCGCAGCAUGA
rnacentral:rRNA from 1 species